AGAGUUUGAUCAUGGCUCAGGAUGAACGCUAGCGGCAGGCCUAAUACAUGCAAGUCGAGGGGUAAGGUCUACUUCGGUAGAUACACGACCGGCGCACGGGUGAGUAACGCGUAUGCAACCUACCUUUAACAGAGGGAUAGCCCCGAGAAAUCGGGAUUAAUACCACAUAACAUCACAGUAUCACAUGAUACCAUGAUUAAAGCUCCGGCGGUUAAAGAUGGGCAUGCGUGACAUUAGCUAGUUGGUGAGGUAACUGCUCACCAAGGCUACGAUGUCUAGGGGUUCUGAGAGGAUGAUCCCCCACACUGGUACUGAGACACGGACCAGACUCCUACGGGAGGCAGCAGUAAGGAAUAUUGCGCAAUGGAGGCAACUCUGACGCAGCCAUGCCGCGUGAAGGAAGAAGGCCUUAUGGGUCGUAAACUUCCUUUAUUUAGGAAUAAUCCCCUGCUCGUGAGCAGGGUUGAAG
rnacentral:rRNA from 1 species